rnacentral:tRNA from 1 species
GGUAGUAUAGCUCAGUGGUAGAGCGCAUGGGUAGCAAGCACAAGGUCCUGGUUCAAUCCCCAGUACGUCCA